AGCAAGUCAUAUUCCACUGCCCUUUGUGCCACUUGCCAGACAACUUGGCAGCUCGCCGCUGGUGUGCUUGGCAGCUGCGGAUUUCUUAUGGGUCACAGAUUUCGUCGGUGUCGCCCGACUCUUUCUCUUCCAAGACCAAGAUGAUAACAGCUGAUGCACGCCGGAGGGGAUGUCCUGCGGCUACAAGCUGGAGGUCUCGUCAGGUACCUUGGUGGAGCUCUUCUCGUAGCCGUUGUGUCUCUUCUCCGACUCCGGUGGCGAUGUGCAGGAGCUUUGUGUGAGGAUCAAGAACUUCAGUUUUAAAUUUAAUAUUUGUUAGGGUCCUGUACAUAAUUUUACAGUUUUGGAGGAUCUGCGCCGAGAACUUGGUUGUAGUUUUUAAUUCCUCCAGCGUGUUUGUUGGGGGGAAAUAUUAACGACCUCCUAAUGCCGCUUAAAACAACAGUCAUGAAGGGCCAGGCCCACCUGCGGUAAUUACGAUUACCGCCGACCCAGUAGAGGCAGAGAACAUCCCACUCCGUCUCGCCCGACCCAGGGCCCCGAGGUCGGACAAUCCCGACCCCUCGGUGGCGGGACUCCGUCUCGCCCGACCGCGGUCCAGGGUCGGGAGCGCCUGACCCCUCGCCGCAAGGGUCCGCCUCGCCCAACCGCGGUCCCAGGGUCAGGAGCGCCCGACCCCUCGCCGCAAGGUUCCACCUCGCCCGACCGCGGUCCCAGGGUCGGGAGCGCCCGACCCCUCGCCGCAAGGUUCCGUCUCGCCCGACCCAGGGAACCGGGGUCGGGAGCGUCCGACCCCCACCACAGAAGCUCCGCCUCGCCCGACCCUGGGCGCGGGGCUCGGACUCACUCGGGUCCACAAGACGGAUAUUCGCCUCGGCCGCGGACUGGAGGAUUAGGAUAACGAUCUCGUGGGCCCCCCUAUCGACCUCGCCAUAAAUGCGCCGCGGCCCUGUCAAGCCAAAAGGGAGCGGCGUCCCCAACGUAACCGGUCACGAAUACCGGUGCGCGGCCGUGCGGCGCGGGCUGCAGUGGCCGUGGCUCCUUCUGAUUCGCCACAGAGUACUCAUGAGCUGCGCCGAACGGCACAGGAGGGCGCAUCGCUUGCUCUCGCGCCCCGUGCUCCCAACGACAGUCUCAGGGAUGCGACAUCCGGGUCUUACGGUAAUCUGCGGGGCAAUAGAAUCGGACUUCCUCCCCGGCGGGCACGGAUGCCGAGGCCGAGGAUCAUCAUCAUCACGCUCGACGGCGACGGCGACCAGGGAGAUCAUCGAUAAGAUCGGGAAGGAAUCGCCCUCCCUCGAUCGGACGUGCUGACAGGGACUGGUGGCCGGAGCAAGAGCGGCGGCCUUGGGACCCUCCCCUUGUAUUAUUUUUCUACUUAGCUUAUCCUUUCUACCUCUCCUCCUGACGCCUGUCUCAACUAUAACCCCGAGCUCCUUCUUGCGCUAUAAAAGGAGGACCGGGGGUCCUAAGACAGGGGGACGGAGACUCUUUUCCUCAAGCCAAUAGCACACUCUCACACUCCCUUAGAGCAAAAGCACCCUCAAGAGACCUGGGAUCAGUUCCCUCUCUCGUCCAUCUGUAACCCCUACUACAGAACCCCGCGUGGGUAAUACGAGCAGCCUCGAUACUGGACGUAGGGCCUCCUUCGCCCGAACCAGUCCAACCCCGUGUCUCCCACACCACCAUCUGAAGCCUUACGUGCAUAAAAGAAAUUUACUAGUCUAAGUCUUGAUCCGCAAAUCUUGACAACGACAGUUGGCGCGCCAGGUAGGGGACCUUUGCGCGUACGUCUCUGGCUUCAGAUGGCCAGCCACGAGACCAGCUUCGCUCCGGGCUCCUUGAUCCGCUUCGGGAGUCUGGACUUCCUCGCCACCGGGGAGGGGAUCGAGCUGAUCCCUCUCCUCGUCUUGCCCGCUCGUCCCGCCAUCCCCGGCCCCGUCGCCGGGACAGCGGCGAGCGGCCAGGCGCGCGCCGGAGGGCCCUCCUCAAGGGGUCGGCUCUUCAGGCUGCGCAAUGCCGUGGUGACCUACGGUCAUCUCCUAACGCGGUCGCUGACCGUGUCGCUCACGAGCAACAAGCUCGCAGGCAUGGCGAGGACAAUCUCCGACACCGGCUCCAGCAACGGGAGCCGCCACCCCUCCGUGAGUGCUUCAUGGCCGACAUGCACUCCGAGGGGUCCAACGACGACGGCGCCGAGGGGAGACAGAGGACUCCACCCCGCGUGCCGCGGCUACGACCAGGGCCUUGCCAAGGGCCCCGGAGCACCUUCGGCAGCCGGAGGCGCGCGCGGCGUCCCGCCAGGAGGUCGAGCGCCCCCGCCACGAAGGCGGAGCGCGACAGCGGGCACGCGACGUCCAGCAGCGCAUCUGCGCGGACGAAGAGCGCCCUCAGCUCUUCGCUCGCGCUAGCCAGAACGUCGCAGCCACGGCGGCCCUACUCCGGCAACUCCCCGAGCCGGCGAUGCCCGAGGAGCGAUGGGCGCGCCAAGAGAUGCGCGACUUGCUCGAAUGCGCCGCCAUCCAGCAGGUGGAAAGUUCCGCAUCCCGUCGACACGGGCAAAACGCCAACAGGACGGCGCCCGACGCGCCUCCGGAAAGACGGGGGGAGUCUGUCCACUAGCCUCCUCCUAGGGCAAACCAGGCUGCGUCCGCCCGGCGGACACCACCACCCGCGGGAGGCGGGGCUCGAUCCGUUCAUCGACGCGUCAGCCCCGUCCGCGACGCCCGCGACACCCUGGACGCGCAGAGGCACUCCCGCGCGGAUAGGGAGGACGGGGUAGAUCGCGGCUACCACGUCCACCGCGGCGGGCGCUACGACAGCGAGGAAGACCGCAGCCCGAGCCCCGACCCAGCGGGGCCCCGGGCCUUCUUCGCGCGCAUCCUGAACGCGCCUUUUCCGCCGCGCUUCAGGCAACCGACGAACGUGGCCAAAUACUCGGGGGAGACAAACCCUGGGGUUUGGUUCAGCGACUACCGGCUCGCAUGUCAAGCCAACGGGGCGGACGAUGAUCUGUUCAUCAUCCGCAACCUACCACUCUUCCUGGCCGACUCGGCACGAGCCUGGCAGGAACAUAUCCCUUCGGGACGGAUCCACUGCUGGAACGACCUGAAGGAGAUAUUUAUAGGAAACUUCCAGGGCACGUACACACGCCCCGGCAACUCCUGGGACCUCCGGAGCUGCCGCCAGGGAUCGGACGAGUCCCUCCGGGACUACAUCCGGCACUUCUCCAGGAAGCACACCGAGCUCUCCAACGUCGCGGACGCCGACGUCAUAGGGGCCUUCUUAGCGGGAACCUCCUGCCGACCCCUCGUCCACGAGCUAGGGCGCCGAGGCCCGCGAACCACGGAGGAGCUCCUCAACAUUGCCACCAGCUACGCCUCGGGCGAAGAGGCUAUUGGAGCGAUCUUCGACUGCUCCAAAGGCAAGGCAAAGCAGGAGGAGGAUGCUGACGAGGGCACCUCCAACCGCCAGCAGAAGAAGAAAGGCAAGCAGCGGCGCAAGGCCCCCCUCGUAGCUGCUGUCGAGCGCAAGCGAGGACAGCCGCCCCCGGAGGGUACUCCUGGCUUCUUCGACAAACUGCUUGAGGGACCAUGCCCGAACCACGAGUUCCCCACGAAGCACGCCUACAAAGACUGCAACCUCAUGAAGAGGUACUUUGUAGGCAACCCAGUGAAGGGCGAUCGGAAGCGGAAGCCCGAUGAAGAGAAGAAGGGCGACAAAGAGAAGGAAGAUGGCUUCCCCAAGGUGGACGCCUUCUUCAUGAUCUUCGGCGGCCCGGCGGCGUACGACUCCAAGCGCCGUCAGAAGCUGGAGCACCGAGAGGUCUACGCGGCCGAGCCGGCAACGCCGGCCUUCCUUGACUGGUCGGGACCAGCCAUCACCUUCGAUCGGUCCGACCACCCGGGACGCGUCCGGCAUCCAGGACGCUACCCCCUCGUCGUCAACCCCAUCGUCGGCGCGACGCGCCUCACCAAGGUGCUCUUGGAUGGAGGCAGUGGCCUCAAUAUCCUCUACGCCGAGACCCUCGACGCUAUGGGGAUUGACCGCUCCCGCCUCCGCCCCAGCAAGGCGCCGUUCCACGGUGUCGUGCCGGGAAAACAGGCGAUGCCUGUCGGGCAAAUCGACUUGCUCGUCACUUUCAGGACCCCCUCCAAUUACAGGAAGGAGGUCCUCACCUUUGAGGUGGUAGGAUUCCGCGGAACCUAUCACGCCAUCUUGGGGCGACCAUGCUACGCGAAGUUCAUGGCCAUCCCCAACUACACCUACCUCAAGCUCAAGCUGCCGGGGCCCAACGGGGUCAUCACCAUCGGCACGUCUUUCCAAAAGGCGUACGAGUGCGAUGUGGAAUGCUGCGAGUACGCCGCAGCCAUCACCUUCACAGGCGAUCUGGCGGUCCAGCUCGCGGAGGACGCUGAGGACCAGCCCGACUCCAAGCAGUCGGCCACCUCCUUCGAGGCCACCGAAGGCAUCAAGGAGGUCCUCCUCGACCCCAGCAGCUCCGACGGCAGGACCGUGCGGAUCAGCACUACCCUAUCCCCCAAAUAGGAAAGCGCGCUCGUCGACUUCCUCCGCGUGAACAGCGACGUCUUCGCGUGGAAGCCCUCGGACAUGCCCAGCAUUCCGAGAGAAGUCGCCGAGCACUCCUUGAACAUUAAGGCUGGCUCCAAGCCAGUGAAGCAAGGAUUGCGCCGCUUCGACGAGGAGAGGCGCAAGGCUAUCGGUGAGGAGCUCCAGAAGCUUUUGAUGGCCGGAUUCAUCAAGGAAGUGUACCACCCUGAGUGGCUAGCUAAUCCUGUUCUUGUACGAAAAAAGAAUGGGAAAUGGAGGAUGUGUGUUGAUUAUACCGGUCUCAACAAGGCGUUCCCAAAGGAUCUGUUUCCUUUGCCACGCAUAGAUCAGAUAGUCGACUCGACUGCCGGGUGCGAAACCCUUAGCUUCCUUGACGCGUAUUCCGGCUACCACCAGAUCGCGAUGAAAGAAUCUGACCAGCUCGCUACUUCUUUCAUCACCCCCUUCGGCCCCUACUGCUACGUUAAGAUGCCAUUCGGCCUCAAAAACGCGGGGGCUACGUUCCAGCGAUGCAUGCUGAAAUGUUUCGGGGACCUCAUCGGGUGGACCGUUGAGGCUUACGUUGACGAUAUUGUAGUCAAAUCCAAGAGGGGCGACCGGCUCGUCCCUGACCUCGAACUAGGCUUCGAAAGGCUGAGGGAUAAGCGUAUUAAGCUCAAUCCCAAAAAUUAUAUUUUCGAAGUUCCAAGGGGCAUGCUGCUAGGCUUCAUCGUCUCCGUGCGCGGCAUCGAAGCCAAUCCGGAGAAGAUAGCGGCCAUCAGUGACGUGGGGCCAAUCCGAAACAUAAAGGGAGUCCAGCGCGUCACGGGAUGCUUAGUGGCCCUGAGCCGCUUCAUCUCGCGCCUUGGCGAACGGGGGCUUCCUCUCUAUCGACUCCUAAAGAAGGCUGACCGCUUCGAAUGGAGCGACGAGGCCCAGGAGGCACUUGACCGACUCAAGGACCUCCUGACGAAGGCCCCGGUCCUGGUCCCGCUGACCGACGGCGAGCCCCUCCUGCUCUACAUCGCGGUGACCACCCAGGUGGUUAGCGCGGCCCUGGUGGUGGAACGAGAAGAGGAGGGACACGCUCUCAAGGUGCAACGCCCAGUGUAUUUCGUCAGCGAAGUCUUGUCCGAGUCCAAGGCACGCUACCCGCAGAUCCAGAAGCUCAUCUACGCCGUCCUCAUCACGAAGAGGAAGCUGCGCCACUACUUCACCUCCCACCCGGUAAUGGUUGUUUUGUCGUUCCCACUAGGCGAAGUGAUCCGGAACCAGGACGCCACGGGACGGAUCGCGAAGUGGGCGCUCGAGCUCAUGGACCAGGGCAUCACCUACGCCCCCCGCACCGCCAUCAAGUCCCAUGUACUCGCCGAUUUCGUGGCAGAGUGGACGGAGAUCCAAACGCCAUCGGCGCUGGAGAAGCAGGAGUACUGGACAAUGUACUUCGAUGGGUCGUUGAUGAGAGCCCGUGCCGGAGCGGGCCUCGUCUUCAUCUCUCCUCUAGGCGUGCGCAUCAGGUACAUGAUCCGCCUCCACUUUCCUGCGUCCAACAAUGUUGCCGAGUACGAGGCCCUCCUCAACGGGCUUCGCAUCACCAUCGAGCUGGGCAUCCGUCGGCUAGACAUCCGGGGUUACUCCCAACUAGUCGUCAAACAAGUUAUGAAGGAGUGGAGCUGCCACGACCCCAAGAUGGCAGCCUACUGCAACGAGGUUUGCAAGCUUGAAGACAAGUUCGACGGGCUGGAGCUCAACCAUGUCGCAAGGCGCUUCAACGAGGCCGCCGACGAGCACGCGAAAGCAGCAUCCGGCCGAAUGCCCGUCCCCGACGGCGUCUUCGUCAGCGACUAGUUCAAGCCUUCAAUCCGUUACCAAGAACCGGCGAGGGUCGGCGAAGCGCCACCAGCUUCGGGCUCGGGUCCCGACUUAGGGGAGGUCGGCAGCGCGCCACCUGUCCCAGGCCUGGGCACCAGCCCCGACAGGGUCGGCACCGCUUCGCCUGACUCGGCCCCGGAAGCCGACCCCUCCAGCCCCAUGGUCAUGGAAAUCGCGGCGGACCCCGCGGUAGGGCCCGACCCCCCAACCGAUUGGAGAGCCCCAUACCUCGAUUACCUCGUUCGCGACACGCUCCCGGCGAACAAAACGGAAGCCCGUAGGAUCGCGCGUCACGCCAAAUCCUUCGCCGUUAUCGAUCAGGAGCUCUACAAGAGAAGCCACACCGGCAUCCUCCAGCGCUGCAUCCCGAUCGAACAGGGAAAGGCACUGAUCCAGGACAUCCACGCCGGAGCCUGCGGCCACCACGCUGUGCCAAGAACCCUCAUUGGUAACGCCUUCCGGCAAGGUUUCUACUGGCCGACGGCGGUCGCCGAUGCCACCCAAGUAGUCCGCACCUGUGAGGGCUGCCAGUUCUUUGCGCGCCAAACCCAUCUGCCCGCGCAGGCGCUCCAGACCAUCCCCAUCAUGUGGCCGUUCGCGGUCUGGGGGUUGGAUCUCGUCGGGCCCUUCAAGAAAGCGCCCGGGGGCUUCACCCACCUGCUUGUCGCCAUCGACAAGUUCUCUAAGUGGAUCGAAGCAAGACCGGUCGCGCAAAUCAAGUCCGAGCAGGCGGUACAGUUCUUCACCAACAUCAUCCACCGCUUCGGAAUCCCCAACUGCAUCAUCACCGACAACGGCACGCAGUUCACUGGAAAUAAAUUUCUCCAGUUCUGCGACGACCACCACAUCCGGGUAGACUGGUCGGCCGUGGCACACCCCUGCACGAACGGGCAGGUCGAGCGAGCCAACGGCAUGAUACUCCAGGGUCUCAAGCCAUGGAUCUUCGACCGCCUCAAAAAGUUUGGCGGACGGUGGGUCGCCGAGCUUCCCGUAGUCCUGUGGAGCCUGAGGACAACCCCCAGUCGGGCGACUGGCUUCACCCCAUUCUUUAUGGUCUACAGGUCCGAGGCCAUCCUGCCCACCGACCUGGAAUACGGAUUGCUGAGGGUUAAGACGUACGACGAACAAGGGAACCAGGCAUCGCUCGAAGACGCACAAGAUCAGCUCGACGAGGCGUGCGACGUGGCCCUGCUGCACUCGGCCAAAUACCAGUAGGCCCUACGACGUUACCACAGCCGCAAGGUGCAAGGCCGAGCCUUCAACGUUGGCGACCUGGUGCUCCGCCUCAUCCAGGAUAAUAGGGGUCGGCACAAGCUGACUCCCCCCGUGGGAAGGUCCUUUUAUCGUCGCGCAAGUACUACGGCCAGACACCUAUAAGCUAGCGACCCCCGACGGGCAGAUCUUCGGCAAUGCUUGGAACAUAGAACAGCUAAGGCGUUUCUACCCCUAGUUUUCAUUUCCAAGUUCUGUACAUAAACUUUUCUGUAAAGUUGAAGAUUUCUUUUUACGGAAAAAGGAAUUUCAAGCCAGUUCUGUUCAACACUUUUUCCGUCAAGCUUAGGGAUAUCCGACCCUGGCUUUGCUCCAGGGUCGCAUAUCCCUCGGGGGCUAUCAAGGGCUCCGGCCCAAGCCACUUGGCACCAUCUAAAAAAUGUUUUUCCCUUCCGAACCGAGCCCCCCUUUCUGAACUUUUGGGCAUAAAAAGGAGAGAGUGCAUGAACGGUGUUCAGGCAAGAUUGAUCGGACUGCGAAAAAACCUACGCCCCAGCGGCUACGGUGCCCUCACUCAUCAAAGCUUACUGACAUGCCCGACAACGCACUCCAAACUUUCCAAGUCCAAAAAACAAGAAAGGGAAUCAAAAACUUUUUUACGACAAUCCAUAGGAAAAGCCCUUGUGGCCAUUACAAAAUGAGUUUGGAACUAACGUAUUUACAACUUGGGCGCCAGCCCGAUACAGUUAGCUCGCCGGGGGAUCUUCGAGAGGGACGGCCUCAUCCUCCAAGAGCUUCGCUAGGGCUUCCACCGGGUUGAACACCAACGCGUCGAUCUCAUCCAGCUCGGCCUCGGAGUAGCCGGCGGCGUAUCCUCCGCUCAUCCCGGCGUUGAUGCCAGAGUAAUGGGAGCUGAAGACCCCGAAGGCUUGCCGCACGCCGGUGUGGAGCGCAUCCACGGCAAUCUCGCGGGCCCGGCGGUACGUCCUGAGGACACGAGCCGUCAGCGAGCUUGACCCCUCCCCCUGGAACACGCCGAGUCCGUCGCAGACGACGCGGACCGCAUCCCGCAGGGCGCCGUGCUCACCACGCUCCGCGUCGAGUAGCUCUCUCAGCUUGGCAAUUUCGUCUGCAAAGAACCACUCGGAAAGACCCACCAAGUUAGAAAUCACCGCAACACCACGGAGACACAGAAACGAAAAGGAGUCUCACCGUCGGACCGGGCCUUCAGCUCACGCUCCCGGUCGGCCCCCUGGGACAUAGCGGUCUGGAGCCCCUGCACUUGUGCCUGGAGCUGACCGACUUCCGCGCCAAGCUCGGCCGCCAUCUUCUCUGCCUCGUUCUUCCGGACCGCCUCGGAAUCCCGCUCCUGCCAGGCCUUUUGCCGCUCGCGCCGGAUGCGCUCGACGGUCUUCUGAAGGGCAUCAAGAUCCCCCCUCAGCCGUCCGAGCUCCUCGGCAUCAAGGCGGGCCUUCUCGGCAGCAGCAGCCUAGAGUUCCUUGCGGUCGAGGCGGGCCUUAUCGACAACGGCUUGGAAUUUGGCCUCCGACCGCUGCACGUCCUCCUACGCCGCUUGCUCGCGCCUUGGCAGGUCGUUGAUGACCCCCUGGGCGGCAGCAACCUGCAUGGUUAACUCCCUGGUUUGCUCCCUCUCCAAGUUGAAGCGCUCCCAGAGCCCCCGCUCCAGCCCUAGGAAAUUAGAUUUCCCCCGACUGCAUUCUUGGAGAGCCUACAAAGCAGUACACCAUCAGGGGCAAGGCAAUGGGAAAAGGGACAAUCACCAACAGGAGAGGUAACGUACCUGACUACCAGGGAGGACGACGUUGUCCAACUCCCCCAGCACCAAGGACAGAGCCGCACGGGUGUUGGCGAGGCUGCCUUGCACCCCUUGCCACUUGCGCCACUCCGCGGCGUCAUCCAGGGUGAAGAGGUGCCUCGACGGAUCCUCACGGGACGUCCAACGCAGGACAGACCCUCUCCACGCCCUGGGAACGGUAGCAGCCAAGGCCGAGGCGGGAGCCGACCCCGACGCCGCCGUCAAAGCAGGCUCCAUCAUCCCGAAAACCGCCGGGUUCACCGACGGUCCCGGCGCCUGCGCACCUGUUGCCGUCGGGGCUAUCGCGGGCCCACCCGACGGCGCCACCGCCUCCGACGCAGGCGGCGGAACAAGUAUCCCCGCGGCUACCUCGCCCUCCACUGCAACCACCAAGGGAGGCUCCUCUGCCCCUGCCAGAGCCCCUAGAGCGGGCACCUCCGCCUCCGCCAUCGGUGCCACCUCCGCCGGGACCUUCGGGGCGGAGGUCCCCGCCUCCGUCACCGCCGCCUCCUCCGCCGCGGUCGCGGAGGCAGGCCCUCCCUCCUCUGUCGCCGCCGCCGUCCCCGUCGCGGCUGUAGGGACAUCCGUCCUUGUUCCCAUCGUCGCCAUUCCCUCCGCCUCGUUGGCGUCAAGGUCGAUCACUUCCCCGGCCUGAGGGCCCUGGGGAACGACGCUCUGCACCGAAGGGUCGGCCGAAGAAGCAGAAGGCAAAGCGGGGUCCACGCCCUCUCCCGCGCCCGAUGGCGCCACCAUUCCACCGGUCGUCGUCACAGGGGCCGUUCCCGCGGCGGGACCCGCGACCUCACCGGGGACCCUGCCGCUCGCCGCGGGCGGGGCCGCGGUCCGCUCCGCAGAGGCGGACAGCACCCGCAGCGCCUUUUUGGGUGCCAGCUGCAGAACGAGACCACGGGGGGCGGCGCUGUGAAACAACAAACAAAUGUCAGCGGAAACAAACGCAAGGUGGGGAAAGGAGCGAGGUUCACGAGGAAAUCCAACUCACGUUCCUCCGGAGCAAGGACGGCGCGCGCGCUUCGCCUUCGAACCGGACGCCGACCCCGGGGCAUCCGGUAGCGGCCGCUUGUCGCCGCUCCUCUGCUCCUGGGCUGCAGGCGCGACGGCGGGGGCGGGCUCCGUAGACCUUCGGGGAGCGCCCCGCGCCGACUCCUGGGGGACGCUCCGCGCCGACUCCUGGGGGGUGCCCUGCGCCGACCCCUGGGGGGCGCUCUGCGCCGACUCCUGGGGGGCGCCCCGCACCGACCCCUGAGGGUUGCUCUGCGCCGACUCUUGGGGGGCACCCCGCGCCGACCCCUGAGGGGUGCUCCGCGCCGAUCCCUGGGGCAUGGCCCCGGAGCCUUGCGGAACCAAGCCCCGGGCGGACGGUCCGCCCGCUUCAUCCCUCACGGCCGUUUGCGGGCGCGCCUCCCGAAUAACGAGCGCACCCGACUGAGGGGAUAAGGCAAGCUCUUCCUCCUCCUCAUCAUCCUCCUCAUCUUCCUCCUCAUCGUCAUCAUCGUCGUCAUCAUCGUCGUCCGACAUGACCUGCCCUCGCCGCCACCGUUGGAACUCCUUGGCGGCCUUCUUCUUCUUUUUCGCCGUCUCCUUGUCCUUGUGGCGCUUCUGCUCUUCAGCAAGGAGACGGUUUUGCAGCCGCCGAUCGGCGUCCUCCGGCACCGGCGGGUGCGAGUCCACAACCCGGGUCAGCAUGCCCUGCAAACACAAAAUGGCCCCGCGUUAGAGCGACGAACACAAAAAAAAGGGAGGUCGACGCUCAAAUUCCUUACCAAGUCGAUGAAGCCCUCGUCCGGGCGCAUUGGCGGGUGCCCGGGCACCGGGUAGUCGGCGUCCUUGUCCUCCAACGCCUCCCGAAUCUGCUGACGGAUCUCGGAGGUGGUGAGCGCACCCGUCGCCAGGACGGUACCCUCGGUCGACGCGCCCGGAGUCAUGUCGGCGAGCGAACGAGCCCGGAGCAUCAGCGGCGCCACCCGCCGGGCAUGGUACGCCCCGAUGACCCCGGCUCCGGUAAGCCCUCUCCUCUUCAAUUGCUCGAUGGCCUGCAGCAGGUCGAGGAUCCGCUUCUUCUCCUUCUCGACCGGUCCAUACGCCCACACCUCCGGCGCCACGUCGAUAGUGCGGCCGGUGAACUCCGGCAGGGGGGAGUUUGAGUAGUUCUUCACAUAGAACCACUAAUUGUGCCACCCCUUGUGGGACGCCGCGGUCUUCACCACCAUGUACUCCUUGGAGUGGGUAUGGUGGAGAUGGAUCCUGGCGCACCCAAUCGACACCGGGGGCGACCGCUGCUGGUUCCCCCUCCUCUCCAUCUUCUGGUACAGGCUGACUGUAAAAAAGUACUUCCACAGCGAGAAGUUGGGCUUGAUGCCCAGGAACCCCUCGCACAGUGCGACGAACGCCGUGAUAUGCUGGAUCCCGUUGGGGUUGAGGUGCUGCAGCUCGAGCCCGUAGUAAUGGAGGAGCCCGCGGAAGAAGCGGCUCAGCGGAGUCGCGAACCCCCGCUCGUGGAAGUGGGCGAAGGAGACGACAUAGCCGGCGGGAGGCAUCGGCACCUGCUCCGACCCCGGCAGCUCCCACUCACCCACCUCCGUCCUCUCACUGAGGAGGCCCUUCCUCACCAGGCCUUCGGCACGCGAGGAGUUGAAGUGGGAAAUGCCCCAGGAUCCCAUCGUCGAAGGAGGAAGGAACUCGACGGGGAUGGGGAGAAAGGGCGUAGCGCUGAGCGGAGGAAGAUGAAGCGGGCGCGGAUGAGCUGAAGGCGAGCUAGGUAGGAGAAAAGACUUGAAAGCAGAAGGCGGUCGGAACCUGCGAGGUGAAGCCUUCGCUUUAUAGGGAAGGCGCGAAGCGAGCGGAACUGACGCCCUUGUCGCCAUAAAUGCGGCACCAGGUACGCCCCCAUCACGCCCACUUUCCUUUCGGAAACCGCGCGCAUGAUCGGCCGCAGAGACAUCCUCUCCUCCUCGAUUCGCGGGUCAGCGCCCUCCAUAACUCCGUCUCUCGGAAGACGCGCACACAACAUCUGCCCCGAUUCAGCCCAAGGCCCACCGAAAGGUAAUAAGGGAUACGGGGCUGGAAACGCCCCUACGGCCCAUUUAUGAUCCAGAGGUUCGAAGGCUGGCCUGCUACGGGUUCGACAGCCGCCUCAGGAUGCCCACAAGCAAGGGGUGAGAAGGGACGGGUCCGCUAGCGGCCACCACCCAGGCGAGCGAAAGCCAAGGGCGUCCCGACCUCACGUUCGAGCCCGGGCUGGCGUCUAAGUUCAUGGUUUUUCCCCGAAGAAAGGCAACGAGCCCCCGAAUCCGAUCGAACGGACUCGAGAACGGUAUGAACUGGCUAGCUAGAAUCUGGAGUACGCCACCAGCUUAGCCCGAGCCGGACCCCCCCGAACGGGGACCGGGACUCCACUCGAACCGACCAGUUCGCAGCUCAACGAGCACCACGGUUCGUCCAACGAGGAUAGCGUGGCACGGCUCAUCCCCUCCGUCCUAGUGAACGGAUGCUUGAGGAGUAAUGAUUAAAAGUCGAUCUAGCCUCCCGAACGGUCUCCUGCAACACGCGAGGGCUCGGGGGUUAGCGUCGCAACCGACGACCACGCGUGUGGUCGCGAUUUGAGGACUCGAGGCGGGAGUGCCCUACGGAGCAAUGAGGAAUCCUCCCGCACCAAGUUAUCCACAGGACACGUCUCCUGAUCAAACUCCCUAGCCAAGCCGGACCAACAACACUCCCCAUCCCUGAUCAACCGCAGCUUGCAGGGCGAGCAGAGAUCCCCGACGAGCGACGAAAAAAGCCUCUGGAGGAGCAUCUUUGCUCCACCACAGGCUCGGGGGCUACUGUUGGGGGGAAAUAUUAACGACCUCCUAAUGCCGCUUAAAGCAACAGUCAUGAAGGUCCAGGCCCACCUGCGGUAAUUACGAUUACCGCCGACCCAGUAGAGGCAGAGAACAUCCCACUCCGUCUCGCCCGACCGCGGUCCCAGGGUCGGGAGCGCCCGACCCCUCGCCGCAAGGGUCCGCCUCGCCCAACCGCGGUCCCAGGGUCGGGAGCGCCCGACCCCUCACCGCAAGGUUCCGCCUCGCCCGACCGCGGUCCCAGGGUCGGGAGCGCCCGACCCCUCGCCGCAAGGUUCCGCCUCGCCCGACCCAGGGAACCGGGGUCGGGAGCGUCCGACCCCCACCACAGAAACUCCGCCUCGCCCGACCCUGGGCGCGGGGGUCGGACUCACUUGGGUCCACAAGACGGAUAUUCGCCUCGGGCGUGGACUGGAGGAUCAGGAUAACGAUCUCGUGGGUCCCCCUAUCGACCUCGCCAUAAAUGCGCCGCGGUCCUGUCAAGCCAAAAGGGAGCGGCGUCCCCAACGUAACCGGUCACGAAUACCGGUGCGCGGCCGUGCGGCGCGGGCUGCAGUGGCCACGGCUCCUUCUGAUUCGCCACAGAGUACUCAUGAGCUGCGCCGAACGGCACAGGAGAGCGCAUCGCUUGCUCUUGUGCCCCGUGCUCCCAACGGCAGUCUCAAGGAUGCGACGUCCGGGUCUUACGGUAAUCUGCGGGGCAACAGAAUCGGACUUCCUCCCCGGCGGGCACGGAUGCCGAGGCCGAGGAUCAUCAUCAUCACGCUCGACGGCGACGGCGACCAGGGAGAUCAUCGAUAAGAUCGGGAAGGAAUCGCCCUCCCUCGACCGGACGUGCUGACAGGGACCGGAGGCCGGAGCAAGAGCGGCGGCCUUGGGACCCUCCCCUUGUAUUAUUUUUCUACUUAGCUUAUCCUUUCUACCUCUCCUCCUGACGCCUGUCUCAACUAUAACCCCGAGCUCCUUCUUGCGCUAUAAAAGGAGGACCGGGGGUCCUGAGACAGGGGGACGGAGACUCUUUUCCUCAAGCCAACAGCACACUCUCACACUCCCUUAGAGCACAAGCACCCUCAAGAGACCUGGGAUCAGUUCCCUCUCUCGUCCAUCUGUAACCCCUACUACAGAACCCCGCGUGGGUAAUACGAGCAGCCUCGAUACUGGACAUAGGGCCUCCUUCGCCCGAACCAGUCCAACCCCGUAUCUCCCACACCACCAUCCGAAGCCUUACGCGCAUAAAAGAAAUUUACUAGUCUAAGUCUUGAUCCGCAAAUCUUGACAACGAUAGUGUUGGUUGUAAAAACCUGACUUUCUUAAUAUAUGGGAUCAAGCUAUUCGGUAUAGCUUCUUGCAUCUGUGCUGCGGCUUCAGCCAGGCAGCAGCGCUGCAACGUCUCCCUACUUCUAGUGCUGGGGAAGGGAUAUGAGAGUUGGGAGCGCUCGAGAGUUAACCUGUGGAACGAGAUGGAGAACGGUGGACAUAACAGCGUGGGCUGCUCGCUGCCGAACGGCUGGGCUGUUUUACAGCCGCAACUGCAGGCCCAAAACAUGGCAGCUUGCCGUGGCAAAAUGAAAACCAACGGAGUUCUCAUCAUGCGCUGAGUCUCGCAGUCUUGCUUAUUUAGAUACAAGUCAUUCUCCGGAAUAUAAUUGUUUGAUGCUACGCUGAUUCGAUCGUCCUUGCCCUAGCCUGCUUCCUCUCGAGUUUUCUCGCAAAAGUGACAUAUAGCUGUGCCCACUAUAGAACCUCUCGUAGCACCUGAUUUCUUUUUCUCAAUACAAUGUUAAAUCUAGUCCAAGCCAUAGAUCUUAAAUUAGAAUAGUUGAAAAAUAAAAAAUGGAAAGCCUUAAAAUACUCCGGUGUAAAAUGAAUGAUGCAUAUCUGCCGGUGAAGCAUAAAUUUUUUUAAAAAAAUUUGAGUAGUCCUUCUUGCCGAAAGGACUGAGUUUAUGUUAAUUGGACAAGAGGAAAAGGGGAAAAAAAUGUGCCUAGCCAUGCCCUUUUGUUGCAAAUUAUUAUUCUACCGCUAUAGUUUAACCAUGCUUUUUAAAAAGUGUCCUACAAAUAAAGAUUAAACGAUAUGAUGGGCUCCCUCAACUAUAUUCUUUUUUGUUGCACGAAGUCUAAUCCAAUGUAUUUUUCAUGGGACGAUUUCAGGUAGCUGGAUACCUUAAAUCCAUAAUGGCCCCAACAUGUUGCAAGAGUCCAAUGAUGCUGAAAGCAAAAGACAGCAACGCAAAAGGCCGUAUCCAAACAUAGAUCCGGUUCUCUCUACUUUUGUUGUUUCUUAGGCCAUCCUUAAUAGGAGUUUUAUUUUUAUUAAGUAGAGUGACACGUCAUUAUUUUUUUGAUGUGGCAAAGAAUUGAUGAAAAGAGAGGUGAGAUGAGUUUCAUCACUAUGAAACCCUGCAUAUACUAUUUCCAAGAUAUCUUGUGUCUUGCAUGUAUCCUUGGAAGUAACAAACAAUGAAACUUUGCAUUUUGUGAAGCUAUUCCAACUAUAUAUGAAUUAAAUGGCAUCUUGCUUAUAUUGUAUUUUUAUAUAAGAUCUAAUUGUUGAUUAUUAUGAUAAUUUAGUAAUUAUUACGUUGUUAAAAGUGAUUUUUCAAAUGGAAUGGUAUUUUAAACUUUAUCCUAGUGUCAAAAAAAUUAUAGUGAUGCAAUUUGUGUUCUUUUAUCAUGAUAUCCUUAUACUAGCUAUACUACUCAAGUAUACUACCCAUAGCAUAUGUGAAUGUUUCAAUAGUAUAUAAUUAAUCUUGAGCGUUGGAUGUUUUUAUACUAGUCUUUUUUCGAACACUAGUAUAGCCUAGUAUUGGACACCGUAAAAAACUCACUAAUUUAGAGGUUAAUUAUGGGUUCAUUGUUCAUCUAGUCUGUUGCCCUAGGGAUGCUAGCUAUCUCCGGUUACCGCCAGCCCGAUAUUCGCAUCGGUCUUGCGUCAGAAAUUUAUGGCAACCAGGACCAGCACAAUGCUUCUCUCAGCAUGUCAUAUUCCACUGCCUUUUGUGCCACUUGCCAGACAACUUGGCAGCUCGCCGCCGGUGUGCUUGGCAGCUCGCAGGUGGUGUGCUUGGCAGCUGCGGAUUUCUUCUGGGUCACAGAUUUCGUUGGUGUCGCGGGACUCAAACUGUUUGGCUGGACUUAUAAGCGGGCUGAAAAGCUAAAACGGCUGAUUUGUUGUGAGAAAAAAACACUGUUCGGUGGCUGAUAAGCCGGCUGAUAAGCUGAAGCGAACAGAUAUAUAUUUCUCUUCCAAGACCAAGACGAUGAUGGCUGAUGCAAGCUAGAGGGGAUGUCUCGCGCGCGGCCACAAGCUGGAGGUCUCGUCGGGUGUCUUGGUGGAGCUCUUCUCCUAGUCGCUGUCGUGUCUCUUCUCCGACUCCGGUGGACCUCGAAACGUUGCGAUGUGCACGAGUUUUGCGUGAGGAUCCAAGAACUGCAGUUUUAAAUUUGAUAUUUGUUAGGAUCCUGUAUGUAAUUUUACAGUUCUGGAGGAUCUACGCCGAGAACUUGGUUGUAACUUUUAAUUCCUCCAAGGUGUUGGUUGUAAAAG
rnacentral:lncRNA from 1 species